GAAUUAUUGGGCGUAAGCGCGCGCAGGCGGUUUCUUAAGUCUGAUGUGAAAGCCCCCGGCUCAACCGGGGAGGGUCAUUUGGAAACUGGGGAACUUGAGUGCAGAAGAGGAGAGUGGAAUUCCACGUGUAGCGGUGAAAUGCGUAGAGAUGUGGAGGAACACCAGUGGCGAAGGCGACUCUCUGGUCUGUAACUGACGCUGAGGCGCGAAAGCGUGGGGAGCGAACAGGAUUAGAUACCCUGGUAGUCCACGCCGUAAACGAUGAGUGCUAAGUGUUAGAGGGUUUCCGCCCUUUAGUGCUGCAGCAAACGCAUUAAGCACUCCGCCUGGGGAGUACGGUCGCAAGACUGAAACUCAAAGGAAUUGACGGGGGCCCGCACAAGCGGUGGAGCAUGUGGUUUAAUUCGAAGCAACGCGAAGAACCUUACCAGGUCUUGACAUCCUCUGACAACCCUAGAGAUAGGGCUUCCCCUUCGGGGGCAGAGUGACAGGUGGUGCAUGGUUGUCGUCAGCUCGUGUCGUGAGAUGUUGGGUUAAGUCCCGCAACGAGCGCAACCCUUGAUCUUAGUUGCCAGCAUUCAGUUGGGCACUCUAAGGUGACUGCCGGUGACAAACCGGAGGAAGGUGGGGAUGACGUCAAAUCAUCAUGCCCCUUAUGACCUGGGCUACACACGUGCUACAAUGGGCAGAACAAAGGGCAGCGAAGCCGCGAGGCUAAGCCAAUCCCACAAAUCUGUUCUCAGUUCGGAUCGCAGUCUGCAACUCGACUGCGUGAAGCUGGAAUCGCUAGUAAUCGCGGAU
rnacentral:rRNA from 1 species